CUUAAAAAUGUCUCUCUUCAGUUCCUUCCAGUUGUCAGCCUGGUUCAGUUGUGUUGUUUGGUAGGAGCUGACAGAAGUGAUUGAGUUUACUGCUUCACUGGCCUACAACUAGCUGAAGCCAUGGGGUUUCUCUUUAGAUGGUUUCUGUUGUCCUUGCUAGCUGUUGGAAGGCAUCAAGCGAGUGGUUUCAGUAUUGGAUCUGCUGAGAAGCAUGAAGAUGAUGAUGAUGAUGUACCAGUUAUAGACUAUCAUCCAUAUUCGGGUAGCUUUAAAACUGGAGACGGAUCUUCA